rnacentral:piRNA from 1 species
UGGAAAUGAAACAGUCUUUAAUGUCUA